rnacentral:tRNA from 4 species
GCCAGAGUGGCGGAAUUGGUAGACGCAGCGGAUUCAAAAUCCGCCGCCAGUAAUGGUGUGCCGGUUCAAGUCCGGCCUCUGGUACCA